rnacentral:rRNA from 1 species
AUGUCCCAUGGCGCCCUCCUCCGACCUUCCCGCGGGUUGCACGUUCAACCCACACGAUGCCGACCUAAUCUCCGCCUACCUCCGCCCCAUGAACCAGCCGCCAGCUUCCUGCACUCCGCCGACGUCUACGCCGCCGAUCCGGCCACGCUCGUCGCCGGACACCUGCCCGCGGUCCUGGCGUCGCCCAAGACCAGCGACGAGAGGCGCUACUGGUACUUCUUCGGCUCCGCCAAGGCCAGGUCCGUGCGCGACAAGCGCAGGUCCCGAGUGGUCGGCGACGGCAAGGGCCAGUGGCACUCCGAGAAGGGCAGGAAGGUUGUUUCCGAUGACCAGGGACGAAACAUCAGAGGAUACAAGCAGGAGUUCACCUAUAAGCCCACCAACGCCGACGGAUCUGAGGAGGAGGUAUGGCUCAUGGUUGAGUUCGGUGUGGAUCAAGAAGAUGAGGACGAGACCGGCAAAUCCAUCCCCACUCUUUGCAAGAUCUAUCCAAGCCCGCAGAUCAAUUACAGCUUCUCCAUAUCGGACCAUACCGGUUCCACGGUGAGCACCUAUCCAUAUGACAACAUGGUCCUCCAUGGUGGUUCAGUCACGCCCUUCUCUGAGAUUUCUGAUCAAGCCAACUUCUUCAGGCCAGUCUUUGAACCACAACCUGUUGUUGAGUCACAGAGCAAGAGUACAAUGCUAAAUUGCAGCUUCCUGCAGUGUGCCCCAAAUGCUGGCACUUCUGGUUCUUGGACAGGAGGCGACACCACGGACGAUGAAGUGGCCUCGAUCAAUUGCUUGGCUCAUGCUCUUGGAAUUCUUCGCUGCCUGAUAACUAAUGAAGACUGCAGACAGACAGUGGAUUACUCUAGCUUUCAGGCGCUGAUCAAGUAA